rnacentral:rRNA from 1 species
GGGAAUUUUGGACAAUGGGGGCAACCCUGAUCCAGCAAUGCCGCGUGAGUGAAGAAGGCCUUCGGGUUGUAAAGCUCUUUUGUCAGGGAAGAAACACCGGCUCUAACACAGUCCGGGAAUGACGGUACCUGAAGAAUAAGCACCGGCUAACUACGUGCCAGCAGCCGCGGUAAUACGUAGGGUGCAAGCGUUAAUCGGAAUUACUGGGCGUAAAGCGUGCGCAGGCGGUUAUACAAGACAGGCGUGAAAUCCCCGGGCUUAACCUGGGAAUGGCGCCUGUGACUGUAUAGCUAGAGUGUGUCAGAGGGGGGUAGAAUUCCACGUGUAGCAGUGAAAUGCGUAGAUAUGUGGAGGAAUACCAAUGGCGAAGGCAGCCCCCUGGGAUAACACUGACGCUCAUGCACGAAAGCGUGGGGAGCAAACAGGAUUA